ACAACAACUACAUCUAGUCCAAUAACAACUACAUAUACUCCAACAACUACUACAUCUGCUCCAACAACAACCACAGCAGCUCCAACAACUACCACAACUACAAAAGCUCCGACUGCACCUGUCCAAGUUUUUCUGUUUCUACAGUUCCUUGAACCAUAUGUACCUGAUCUCACAGACCCCACCAGCAGUGUAUUUCAAGAUCGCAAAAGACGAGUUGAAGAGACGGUGAGUAAUAUUUCAACUUAAUAGAUCUUUUAUUGACUGACACUUUAUCUAGAGAACAAAUCUAAAAUCAUACAUUUUAUUUCAUUUAAAUAGGCAUUUUUAGACAAUGUAAUUUUGAAGUUGUUUCACCAUGUUUAAAUUUUCUGUUUGUGUUAAUUUUUUUGCAGUGUGAUAGAAUCUACAAACCAUUUCCUUCCUUCAUCCGUGCCAUUGUGAUUCAGUUCAGGUAAAACAUGUUUUUAACAGUGAUUAAGUUACUUUCCUCUAAAUUAUUAUUUUAAUUUAAUUUUGAAUAUUAAAAGUGCCAUGUCACAUAGUUAAACCAUUCAAUAAUCUGUAAUCAUUAUCUAACAUCUGACUCAAUUUCUUUCAUGGCACAGUCUUGUUAGAGUCCAAACACGAGUGGAUAGAACUGAGGCAGAGGUGGAGCUUGUGUUCAAUCAAACAGCGCCCAGCGCACAAGUCCCAAAUAAUACUACUAUUGUUCAAACUUUGAAACAGGCUAUUAACAGUUCCAGCAGCAAUUUCAGUAUUGCCAUAGUUCCUGACACAAUAUCAAUAACUUCUGGUGAGUAUUUGAAAAUGUAACCAAAAGUUAUUUUGACAUUCGUGAAGGAUAAAGAUAAUAGUUUAGGUUGUACACAGAUAUAUAUGAAUCUAUUUUUGAUAAAUAUUUUAUUGUUCCAGUCAAUGUUACACCGGCUACACCAACUGCUAAUUGCACUAUGACAUCAACUGCUACCCCUUCAAAGCCAGCAUCAAUAACUACGACCAUCAUUUCUACGCCAACAGAAGAAACUAUUCAAACAACAACUGUAGUGACCGUGAAAUCUGCUACAACAAAAGGUACUUUAGCAACAACAGUACUUGAACCAGCAACUUUUGUGGCUACUAUGGCACAGGUUCCUACAGCAACCACCAUGGUGUUAUACACAACUACAACAACAAUAGUGGAAAGUGCAACACUUCCUUCUUCAGCAGCUACUGCAGAAACAACAAUCACUGUGAGAACGACAACUAUUGAAGCACAUAUAUCUGAAAACACAUCUGCAGGAGGAUUGAGCCACAAGACACGUCUCUACACUGCUUCCUGCCUCUGUGACAGGUUGAAGGACUACUGUUGAAGGUCUACUGCAUAUAAAACUGUUCACUUAAUACUAAUUCAUAUCAGUUGAUAUAAGGACAAAAAUAAUGUAAAUAUGGUAAGAAAAUGGUAAAGAGUUCAUUAUUUUUCAUGUUAUAUUAAUGGCUUUCAUGUUACUUAAGAAAACUGCAAUCUAUACAUCAGUGAUCGGCUAGUAAGCCUUUUCUGGGAUCGAUUAGUAGUGUCUCUAUUCUCCACUAGGGGGCUUUCGCGCGUUCUCCUCACUGCAAUAAACGCUGCAUGAGAGACGCAAGUCAAAAUCACUCUCGUGAUUCUUUUCCCCCGGUUUUCAGGUAAAAGUGUUUAAAAGUUGAUAUAUUUCCAAUGUGUACACUGUUAAGAUAUUUAAGAGGUAAUCCUUCGUUGUUUUGUAAGCUUUAGAAGCAUUAUAUUACAGUUUUGUGCACAUAUACGUGGUGGCUUUGAGCCUCAGUUUUGUACUGUGUAAUGGCCAGUAAGAUAACGGCAUCAUAAAUUUGCAUCAUAUGCAUCAUAUGCAUCAUAAAAAAUGAAUGCUUUGAAAAACAGCUCUUGCUGUGUGCGCUGCCUGUUUGUAUCACACAUGUUCCUGCUAGUUUAGUUAUUUGUAUUUAUCAGCAAUAAAGCUGAUAGAGUCCAUUUCAGCCUGUGAGUCCUGCAUCUUGGGUCUGCAACUCUGCCUACUGCACCAACAUGAGUCGCCUCAUUGUUCUGACACACAACACCAAACUAUCCACAACACUACACACUAACUACACAAGACUACACAUUCAGUACACACUCCAAACACGCUAAACGUCACAAAUCUCUCACAUCUCAAAACUCGCUCUCUCUCUCUUUUUCUGCUGUCUUUCUCUCUCUCUCUCUCUCUCUCGUCGUCACUCCUAAAACUUCCCCCUCUUCCUAAUCAACCAAAUGUUAUGUUUCCAAAUCAUUUUUUGAUUGGUUGAUGCUGCAUUUUUCCACCAACACGAACGGGCUGGGUUUUUUUUUUGUUGGUUUUUUUUUUGGUCAUAAGCAGAGAGUGCUUGCUAGUGCUGUCCUUAGACGUUAAACGUGACGAAACUAUUCAGAAAAAAAACACCGGGUAUGUAUCGUUUAUCAUGAUUCUGGUUUUACGUGGCCUAUCAACACAAUUUAAAACUGGUAUAUAUCACCUUGUUGCUUUGUAAUUUUGAAUUGGUCGUGUGAUCGGCUUACCACGACUACUUUAUUCUUCCACAGCCAAACAGCAACACUCAUGUGAUUGUUUUGCUUGCUUAGCUUCACGUGUUGUGCCAAAAAGUGAUUGUUUGCCAGAAAGUGAUUGAACCCGCAGAAGCCAACGCACCUGCUUAAAGCUGUAGCGCCCAGCUACUUCCGUGAAACUGAUAUAAGAUGUGGUAAGCUGAAGACAGCUUCCACCGUCUGUUUGUUGAAAAAUAGUAAAGCAACCGCACCGCAUUUUGUUGUUACUAAUGGUAACGGCGUUGUAACGAUAGAAAUAGUAAUUAGUUAGAUUAUUUGUUACUGAAAAAAGUAAUGCCGUUAGUAACGCCGUUACUUGUAACGCCAUUAUUCCCAUCACUGCACAGGGCUAAUGCAGAGAGGCACUCACAUUCACAAUUAUGGGUCAUUCAGAAUCACCAGUUAACCUAACCACGCUAAAAGCAUGUCUUUGGAUGGUGGGAAGAAGUCAGAGAACUCAUGCAACCACCAGGAGAACAUGCAAACUCCACAGAGAAAGGCCUCUGCUAGUUGAUGGAGUCAAACCCCUCAAGAUCCUUAUUGCUGUGUGAAAACAGUGCAAACCACUGCACCACCAAGCUGUCAAUCCAUACUUAAAAAAGAGUAGGAAAGCUAUGAUUACCAGGCUUGAUAAAGAAUUCUUUUUAUAUUUUUGUCCUUGACAAGUUAAACUAGCAAUAGCGUGCACGUGGUGUGUAUGCUUUUUCGCCUCUUAUAAACCCAGUGAUUCUCCUGUGGUUUGAAACCUCUAUUUUCUUGUGAUAUUGUGAGUCCAGGCAACUCACCACUCUUGCUAGAUUAUAUCACAUCAUCUUAUGUGUGCUUAUUUUUCAUUUCCAAGACAUUCGCCUAUGUCGCUAGAAAUAAUAAGAAAUUUACUUACCCAAAAUGAGAAUAGAAGUUGAAAAGUUACUGAUUCUCAUCUGAUGUUUAUCUGUGAUAUGUCUAAAUUGCAACCCUUUUACCUUAUGCAACUGUCCACAUACAUAUACACCGAACCGAAAAGCUGAAGGACCUUAAUGGAGAACAAAUAUUCUACCUGUCAAUAUAUAUUUGCGUUGUCCCUUAUCAUACACCCUUCUUUUGUUCCAUGAGUCAGUGGCGAACUUUGUAUUACAAAAGAACUUCCUUGGAAGUCAUAAUAAAUAUAAAUAUUUCUAACCUCGAGCUGUUAUUCAAAGUAGUUAUAAGUCAUGCAAAUUGAUUUAAAUACUGAAUCCAUUUUAGGUCAACAGGUAGUGAAGCUUGCUAAAAAUUCAAUUUCAGUGUUGGAUUAAGUUUCAAGGAAGUUUGUUUCAAUGAGCACUAUUUC
ensembl:lncRNA